GCGCCUGCGUGCGGCGCAGCGGGUGGUCGCGGCCUAAGGCCUGCUCCCGAAGCAAGCCCAGGGGCUAGGCCCUGCCUGGAGCCUGGGUGGAAGCACGUGCUGGGGGCGGAAGCAGCGAUCGCAGCUAUGGCGUCGUUACUUUGGGCUGGCGACGCCGGGGCAGCGGACGGCGAGCAGCUGAGCAGCCAAGUGCUGAAAGAAAUCAUCCCCUCCCACCACAGACCAUUCUGAAAGAUAAAGAUGGAACAAGAGCAUCAAGUUAAAUGCUGACAACCAGCACCUACAGCAGCUGGAGGAUCAGAUGGAAUGGAGUUAAAGGACCACAGCAGCAAGGCGAUGAAUAAACCAGUCUCCUUAUCCCAGGAUGCAACUUCUGUUUAUCCCUCUAAAUUUCCUUCUCCAUUACAUUCAGUUUCUCUUCUCCCACUGAGUUCUCCAAGCCCUAACUGCCUCUGAUUUUACCCAAUAUAUCCGCCUUUCCUAUGUUCAGUUUACCCACAUCCUGGUGGUAUCAAAAACCUUUUCCACCCUACACUGCAGUAGGUAACAGACUGAUUUAUUUUUUUAAUCUUAAGCUUAUGCAAAUGUAUAACCUCCGGCUUCCUCUGGUCUCUCAAUACUACUGUUUUAGUUAGGUUAGGCUGCUAUUUAAAAAAUACCGUAGAGAUUGGUUUGAAAAACAAAGAUUUAUCUCUCUCAGUUCUGAAGAUCAGAAGACUAAGAUCAAGGCAUCAGCAUAUUCAGUAUCUGGUGAGGCCUUGCCUUCUAAUUUGCAAAAGGCUACUUUCUUACUAUAUUCACAUCGUGUGAAGAGGCUCUGGUUUCUCUUCCUCUUCUUUUAAGUGCACUAAUCUCAUCAUGAGGACUCCAUCCUCAUCAUCUAAUUACCUUCCAAAGGCUCCAGCUCCAAGUGCCAUCACAAUGGGCAUGAAGAUCCGAACAUUUGAAUUUUCAAAAGACACAAACAUCCAGCCCAUAAAACUUCCCAACAUUCCUUCCAUAUCUAGUGUCAGUUUUUUUCCUCAAUUCACAGAAAUGACCAACUUCAAAACUCUUUACCUCAUCUCCCUUCUUUUGCCAUUAACAAAUUAUCUCACUCCCUACUCCACAGGAGGUGAAUAAAACAAUUAGCAUUCCCUCAAUUUCCUGUUUUACUCCCCAAAGUAGACCUUUCAUUCCAUUUUGGUCAAAGAGGUACCUCCUUCUUCUAAGGCUGAUCUUUUCAUCUGAGUUCAGAAUACCAGUAUCUUUGGCUGGAUAUGAACCUUCUGUCUUCACUGUAAUUUCAAUCCAUACCUCUCUGCAGCCUGUCACCCUUAACACACAAAGAUGCUGAAGUCCCAUUCACUUGAAAGAAGAAUACUUCCCUGCCCUCACCUCUUCCACCUAUUACCGUAUUUCUAUCUGCCCAUUCAGUCAACAUCCAGAGAGUAUACUAUACUUGUAGGCUUCAUUUCUUUUACACUAUCCACUCUUCAUAAUCUCCAUCUCUGGCUCAAACUGCUUUUGCCAAGGUCUCCAAUGACCCUGUAAUUACAUCUAACAGAGUCUCACUGGCCUCUGCCAUUGCUGACCUCUCUUCUGCUAGAAACUCUCCUCCUUCUUGGUGUCUGUGAGUAGGCUGACCUGGAUUUUCUUCUACCUCUCAGAUCUUCUUUCUCAAUUUCUUUUAUGGGCUCUUUACCCUUUGCCCACCUCUCAAAUAUUCCAGAACACUACCUCUCAUUUUCUGAUGAUCCAUAAACAGAUAUUUCUGGUUAAAUAUAGGUCUAGAGUUCCAGAACCACAGUUUGAAUGUUUCAACUCAACUGCCAAUGAAAUCUCUCUUCUUAGAUGCCACAAAGCACACAUAUAUUUGACAUGGCAUGUCCAAUAAGGAGCUCAUCUCCACCUCCUUCAAAGCCAAGUUCCUGUAUAUAAAAGAGGAUGGCACUCUCAGUUCAGGUGUCUGAUCUGGAAAUUUCGGGGCCAUCCCUUAUUCCUCCCUUAUUCCUCACAGUUGUCCCUGUUCCCUCUGUAUCUUUGGAAGCCCUCCUCUCCUUCAAUCCCUUCAGUUUAGGCUCUCCCAAUUUUUCCCCAUAUUACUGCAACAGCUUCUCUUCUGCUCGCCCUCCCUCCACCUGUAACCACCUCUCAUGUCCCAUACCUCUUUCUACUUCAAUCACAAAGUACUCUGAUCAUAUGACUCUUUCCUGGAACAACAUCCAUGCUACCUUUUUUCUGGGAUCAAACAGGGAUUCUCUGAGAGGUCACCUAGGAGCUGCUUUUUGUUAUGCUCAGCCCUCAUCUCUCGUCAUGGUUCCUCUCCCCACUUUGCCCAGUCACGCCAUACUUCAGGACCCUAAAGCCCUUACAUUUGUGUCCCAAAUCUCUGGGCACAUUGAAACUCCCUCUAAAAAAUGUCUCAUUACCUCACUCUACAUGCCCAAUUUUCUCCUACUAGUCAUUCAAAAGACAGCCUAGGGCCAGGGAUUUAGCUCAGUGGUUUCAGCGCCUGCCUUGCAAGUGCAAGGUCCCGAGUUUGAUCCCUGGUACAAAAAAAAAAAAAAAGACCAAACAAAAGUCAGCCUAGACAUUUUUUCCGGUGAAUGCUUGCCCAAAGCACACUCCUUCCCAGUCUAGACUGUAUGUCCAUCCUGUGGGUCCUCCAGGCCCAAGGACUGCCACUGCCACACCACAGCACUGACCAUGCUGUGCCCUGCCCACUCAGAUGGAAGUGCAUAAGCUGCCAAAGGAGCAAGGUUUGGAUGGUGUUGCACCAAUUCCCUGACACCUACCACAGUGCCUGCUACACAGGAAGCACCCUAGAAUAUUGCUGAUGCCAGAAAGAGUUCUUCAAGUUCUGGAACUAAUCCCAUCAUUAGCAAAAGAAUUUACAUGCAACACAUUCUGAUCCCUUUCACUCUCUGAUUCUAACUGGAUGGUUACACACUGAUUCUAACCAGAAGCUACAAUUUCAACUGAGUGGACAAACUAUAUCACAAAGACAUUACUGUAUGCAAAGACAUAUAACAAGGAA